GUCUCCAAUAGGAGGCGUGGGGGAGCUCGGGGCCCCGCCCAGAGUCUGAUCAGCUGAUGGCUGGCAAUGUCUGUUGACAGCAGCAGCCUCCGCGGCAGGACUGGGUAUGUGAAUCCAAAUGGAGCACUCUGAAGGAGGAGACCAAAACCAGCAGCAGCAGCCUUGGGGGAAGCUGAUCCGGUUAGGUGCUGAUGAAGCAGAGCCCCAUGUCUUACUGCUGAAAAGAGAAUGGACAAUUGGGCGGAAGAAAGGUUGUGACUUGUCCUUUCCUGGCAACAAACUGGUGUCUGGAGAUCACUGUAAGAUUACAGUAGAUGAAGAAUCUGGACAAGUAUCAUUGGAGGAUACCAGCACUAAUGGAACAGUAAUUAAUAAACUGAAAGUGGUUAAGAAGCAGACAUGCCCUUUGCAGACUGGGGAUGUGAUCUAUGUUGUUUACAGGAAGAAUGAGCCAGAAAACAAUGUUGCUUAUCUCUAUGAAUCCUUCAAUGCAAAACAAGAUGUAACUCAAGAACCAGUAGAAGCUAAUGUAGAAAAUACGUGCCAUCUGACCAAAGAUACCUCACAUAUAGGAAGAAGUGAUGAUGGAACCCAAAUUACCUCAUCACUGCCAGCCACUCAGUCUUGCUAUGAGGAACCACAGCCAUCUACUUCUACAUCUAACCUCUUUAAUGCUUCUUCUACCUCUCUCAUCGAGCGGGUAUCUGCUGAGCAGGAUAAUCCUUCAACAUCUGAACCUAGGUGUCCUGGAGCAUCACAUGAAGAACAAGGACAGCUGUAUGCAAAUAGUGAAACUUCCACUAUCACUUCAAGUAUCAUUGAUAAAGAGAGAAAUGAAAGUUCUACAUCAGAGCCUCAAAGGGAAGAGGAGGAGGACUUGGAGCCUGCAAAGAAGAAAAUAAAAGGAGAUGAGAAUGCUAGUCCAUCUCUUCAGAUGACAGCUCCAAGUCAAUGUAUAAUUAAAGCUGGAUUUGAAGGCGCAAAAACAACAAAUGUAAAACCAGACAAAAUGGAAGAAACACUCACUUGCAUUAUCUGCCAGGAAUUGCUGCAUGACUGUGUCAGCUUACAGCCCUGCAUGCACACCUUCUGUGCUGCCUGUUACUCGGGGUGGAUGGAACGGUCUUCUCUCUGUCCAACUUGCCGUUGUCCAGUUGAACGUAUCUGUAAGAACCAUAUACUGAAUAACUUGGUUGAAGCCUAUUUAAUCCAGCAUCCAGAUAAGUGUCGUAAUGAAGAGGAUGUACGUAGUAUGGAUGCUAGAAACAAAAUCACUCAAGACAUGCUGCAGCCUAAGGUGCGAAGGUCAUUUUCUGAUGAAGAAGGAAGUUCUGAGGAUCUGCUGGAACUGUCGGAUGUAGAUAGUGAAUCCUCAGAUAUCAGUCAGCCUUAUAUAGUGUGCAGACAGUGCCCAGGAUAUCGGCGACACUCCAUUCAGCCACUUCCUUGCCCAGGCCAAGAGGGGGAAGCAGGAGGAUUGCAAGCACUGGGAGAUGCACCAUCGACGUCUGCCGACUUUCCUGCAACUGUCCAGGAGUAUGUCUGUCCUUCUCAAGGAAGUCAUGUAAUAUGCACGUGCUGUUUUCAGCCAAUGCCAGACCGAAGAGCAGAGCAUGAACAGAAUCCCAAUAUUGCCCCUCAGCAAUGCACAGUUUGUCUACAGCCGUUCUGUCAUUUGUAUUGGGGCUGCACUCGGAUGGCAUGUUUUGGCUGCUUGGCACCAUUCUGUGAAAUAAAUCUUGGUGACAAGUGUUUAGAUGGAAUCCUAAACAACAACCAUUAUGAGUCGGAUAUUCUAAAGGAUUACCUGGCAUCCAGGGGUUUUACAUGGAAAAACAUGUUAAAUGAAAGUCUCUUAGCUCUUCAAAGAGAAGUUUUUAUGCUGUCAGAUUACAGAAUUACUGGGAACACAGUGCUUUGUUAUUGUUGUGGCCUCCGCAGCUUCCGAGAGCUUGCCUACCAGUAUAGGCAGAAUAUUCCUGCUGCUGAAUUGCCAGUGACUGUCACAUCACGUCCUGAUUGUUACUGGGGGCGCAAUUGCCGGACUCAGGUUAAAGCACACCAUGCUAUCAUUAGCUGUACAACUUUGGACAAGCUUCUUCUAGUUCCAGAAACCCAUGAAACAAAACAGUCCUGACACACCACUGUUGCAUCAUCCAUCGCCUUCUGCAUGAGGACCCAUCGCCUUCUGCUAACUGGUGUGGGUUUGAGACCAGAUUCUUAUUAAAUAAGAGGGCUGAGAGCCUCAGGCCUACUACUCCAUCUCCUGCAAACCUCUACACGCUCAACUCUCAACUUGUGCCUUAAAUACAUUUUGGGGCACUGAACCCAUCAGGGAGAACCCUGUGACAAGAACAGACAAGUGCUUGACAGAAAUUCAAUCACAUUUGUGAACAAACACGUUUCAAGAACUGAACUUUCUGAAAUUGAAGCUGUCUGAAUAUUUGUAGUCUGUAGAAAGGGGAUGAAAGCCUGAAAUACUGAUCAUAUAGGAAAUAUUAUCAGGGGAUUUUCAUUAUUCCCUCACAGCAGGGAGUCAAUAACUUUUUCAUCAGGUACUCUGGUGUGACCUUUUUAAUUUGUAGAGUUUAACAGUUAUAUAUGAGUAAGUGAGAACCUCUUGAAAGAAAAUCUGACAAGCAUUGCAUUCCAUCCUCAUUAUUACAGUGUUACUAUUUCACUAUACUCAAAUCAAGUAAUAGCAGCCAUACAUUGGAGGACCUAAGAAUAAUCAGUGAGGAGUGUAUUUGCACUAAAUGUGUCUGAAAAUAAGAGAAACAUUUAUUAAAAUGGAAAUGCUCUGUACCAGUAACUUAAUAUCAAAGGAGGAAACUCAACACAUGUUCAGACUUGUCCACUUCUAUCUUGUCAUUAGCAUUGCAGUUGGGAUGGAAAUCUAUUAAAGUUCACUUUCACAAAACAAGAAGGUGAUCUGGUAUAUGUUCAUCAGAAUUGUUUUUUUGUUAAUUUUUCCCCCUAUUCAUUAAACAAACAACAGCUUCAGCUUACAGCCUCAGAUCAGAACAGUGCUUUGCAGGAAUGCUAUACAGGAAAGCAUUUUUUCUUUUAGUUUAGUAGUAUUGAUGUGUUUUUACCAUUAGAAUUAGAUAUCACAAACAUUUGCACAAAUAUUUACAAAUCAGACUCAAAUUUGGGAUAGUAAUUGCUUAUGAACAAGCGUCUGCUUUUAAUAACUUUAGCAAUUUUCUAUCAAACUAAACCAUUAUUGACAUAGAGCAGACAGUAAGACAAGUUGGUGCAAUUUUUUUAAUGUAUUUUUUGGUGUGAUAUCAUAUGUUAGCUAGGCAUGUGUAGUUUUAUCUUGCAGCUGUGCUCUAGCAUGUGCACAUUGGUAAAAGCGUAGAAAGGCUGCCACUUCAACAGAAUAUAACAGAUUUACAAGAAAGAACAAAUGUUACCUAUGAAAAGGUCCACUGCAGAUGAACUUUAGCAAUAUGGAGAAAUUCUUUUGAUGUGGGGGAGAUUUUAAGGGGGACACUGGUAUCUCUAACAUGUUGAGUAUGUAGACUUAAUUUUUCACUCCUCUAUUUUUUCCUUAAUUAUGUUCAGAACAUUUCCUGAGAUCAUAAAAAUGUGAUGUAGUCAUAAAUAUUUCCUAGUCGUCUGGCAACUAAUGUUCACGUGCUUGAUUUGGACCAGCUUUUCAUAAGUAUCAUACCCAGGAGAGCAAAAUAGAAUGGGAGGAAAGCGUACAAAGUUACCUCUGUAUAUAUCGUGUUUUAGGUAUGCCUUAUUUUGCAAGCAAGGUUUAUACUCUAUGCUAUGUGUUAUCGUGCAGCACGGGGUGGUGUAGCACAUUGUAUCUGUUAGUUAAUUAAAAAAAUACAAUACUGCACAUGUUAAUAUAAAUGCUAAUUAAAAAUAAUGGAUUUCUGUUCAUAUUUUUAUUUUAAAAGUAGCUGCAGCAAUGAUGGAUCUGUUGGUAAUAUCCAUAAUGCUGUUAAAAGUACACUUGGGUGUGGACUUCUCUUCCUAAUCUCUGGGCAUUUCCUCCUGUGAGUAGGGUUGAAAUCAGAUCUGGAAUAAUACUUGAAACUUGUUAACAAAACGUUGUUUCUACCUUUUACUAUUACUAACAAUGUUCUAUUGCAUCUUUAUUCAUAUUUUAUGUUUAGAAAGUUGAUUUUUUUAAUGGUUAUUAUAUCUUCUCAGGACAGCCAUUCCCAGCUGUUUGGUCUCAAUUUCAACUCUGGCUGUGCAUGUAAGCAAAUUGCAUGUAUUUGUGGAAAGAGACCCUUUGCACAUUACAUGUAGAAAUGUGCUUUGCAUUCUCACUCACUACUUUCCAUGCCCCACAUUGGCUUUUAGCAUAGACUUGUCACUAUGCUAAUGUUCAAGUCCCUAAUGUGCUGAAUUUUUUGUGGAUUAAGAAUAACAUCUACAACCCUAUGUACAACUUCUCUUGCACCUGCACAAGCUGUUGGGACGUAUUAUGUGACAUCUUAAAAAUCUGCAACAAUCUCAAAUACUUGACAUCCAAACUACCUGUAUAGUAGAGGUUCCUUAUAUACCUUUUAUGUACCCCUCUCUUCCCCCCCCCACCCAUAGAGAAUAAAUAUGGCUUUCUAUGCAUAGGGGGUUGAAGUAGUGCAAUGGAAUGAGAAGUUUUUUGUGAUUAUAUUGUACUUGGAAGAGCUGAGAGAUUAACUUGCAAAUGGGGAGGGUGAAUAAAUCCUGAUCUUUAUAUGCUCUUAAGUAACUAAGAGCAUCUGUCAUGGGUAUUACAUACUCUUAUACAUUAGUCCUUUUAAAAUGUAUGGUUGCCAGGUGAUAUUUAGAUAAUGUGAUAACUGUAUAAACUAUACUUGGUGUAAUUGUUUAAAUACUGUAAAGGUGCACCAUAUUUUUAACCUAUCUAAAGCACACCCCCACCCUCUUCAUAAGAGACAUUUGGAAGCAGAGCAUGGAACCUUGUAGAAUCGAUGUUGUGAAAACAAGGGUGAUUAUGAUAGGGUUUAAUGUAGUGGUGAAUAAGAUACAGUCUCCCUCUAUGAGAAAGUUCUUUUAUAAAGAAGGUGGAGUGCAGUUCUUCCAAUUCUUUUUGUGAUUUCCUGGACUAAAAAGUUAUUAAAAAAAUUACCCAUUUAA